CCGACCCCUGUGUUAGACCUUUGUCUCUUGUGCUUUUUAUUUAAUUUUACAUCCCAGUUAGGUACAAAUGUCCUCCCAGGUGUCUCCUGUUGCCCUUAUCAGUUUGUGUAUUUAUUCCCUCAGUUUGUCUUAGUUCUUUGUCAUGGCCUCUCCCAGAUCCUCAUGCGUGAGUGUGUCUGAGCUUUGUUUUUCCUUAGUUUUUUCUUUCCUUGCUCCUGGCUGUCCUAUAUUUUGUACCGUGUUGGGGUUUAGCAUUGAAGUUGCCUUUUUAUUAACUAUUUUCUGUUUGGAGACAAAUAGAGGAACAAUCAGUGAAAACUGUAGAAGAAAGUUGGUGGUUGCAUUCUUAAUAAGUGUUGUAUUCAAAAUUACCAGCAGUUUUGGUUUUUUUUACAUCUUCGACUGGACAUCAAUAAGUCAAAGAUUCAUAUUUAAAGUAUUUGUAAUGGCCUUCCUCUGUGUUUUGCUUUUCGGUAUGUAAGUAUUUUAAGUUGCCAUAUGCUUGCCUUAUUUUUAAUUGUACAAAUUGUUAUUUUUUAUUUUUAUUUGCAUUUGUUUUAUUUUUUAUUCGUUGCUGCUAACAGCGUGUGCAGACACAACACUGCCUCGUCUUUGGAUGGAUCAAAGGUCAGAGGUCGCGUACAAGGACCGGACUGACAGAUGUUCAGAAAGUUGGAGAGUUAUUGCUCAAGAGCGCUUCAGAGAUUAGUCUGAAGCCAGAAGCCAAAUAUAAAGCAGUGAGGGGGGGCUCAAGACUUUUGCACAGCAUGCUGGCUGGGUGUUUUAAUAAAGAUAAAAUGAAGAUGGCGGAUUUAGCAGGUGGUGGUGCAGACAUAGCUCCAACUUUCAAAUGGUCACGAUUAAAACCAGAGAUACUGUAUAUAAAACAACUGAUGGGAGGGUAAUUGUAGAGGAUGAACUACUUAAUUUCCUUGCUGUAAAAAUCAAAACUUUAAGUCAGGAUGAAAUUGUGUUGUUGGCCACGAACACAUUUGACUGUGAGGGGAAUGAAGCCUUCAAGAAAGUUUCAUUUGAGCUCUGCCCUGCUACCUCACAGCGGUGCGUUGGAUAUAAAGGACAGCAUAAAGACGCCAACAAUAUUAAACUCUGUCUUAAAGUGCUGAAUGAGUGUGGGGAGAAUACCCCAAGAUUUGUCUCUCAUCACCUGAACUAUUUGCCGCCUGUUACAUACUCCAGCAUGGAUGUGUGUUGUCUACUAUGGCGAAUGGACCAGCUGUGUGCUGAGGUGGGUGCUUUAAAACAUGUAGUUAAACUACAGGCGAAUGUCUGCAAGCAAGUUAUGACCAAUGCUGUGGAGGUCAACCAACGUGUGACUGCUCUUGAGUGUCGGUCUGAGGUGCCGGCUGAGCCUGUUACUCUGAAUGCUCAGGGGUCGGGGACCGCUUCCCACUUUCCCCUGGGUAAACACGCAGAGGAUUGGUGGGGGAGUCGAAGUAAAGGUGGCCCGUGCGGAAGGCAGGGAGCCGGAGCUUUGGCUGCUUCAAGGACUGGGACAAGCACAGUGUCAGCGUUUUGUCCGGAGAUGUUGCCAUGUGGUCAAGAUCGGGCUCCGACGACAGCCUCAGGUCGUAAUAUGGAAACUACAGCAACAACGUGAGACAGUGCUUUCUACAUGCUCCCCGCAAUGGAGUAAAGUUGUGAAAAAUGGCAAGCCUCGUCACAAGCUGGAGAAGGUUAAUUCGGGUUCAGGAAUGCAUGCUGCUACCACUGGACACAAUAAGAGGCCUGGACCUGUAUCGAUUAUCGGCACUGGAGCUGUGAGUACAAUUAGAACUGUGAAAACUAAAUUGGUGAGCGUGUUUGCCACUAAAUUUGCCCUGGAUGUAGAUGCAGAAACUCUUGCGCUGUAUUUGAGAGAGAAACUCAAAAGAGAUGUGACCUGUCAAAAAAUUGCUAGUAAACGUAGCAGGUUCGGCUCUUUCAAGAUUACUGCUGAAUGUAAUGAUGUGGGUGAAAUGUACAGUCCUGAACUUUGGCCUGAAGGGGCUCUGGUCCGGCGUUUUUAUGAACCUCGUAAGCCCGGUACGGUGGUGCCAAGCUCAGGGGAUCCAGCAGGGGAGAUAACUGCGCCUUCUGGCACCAGCGUAACAACAUGAAUAUGUCUAUUCGGGUAUUAUCUUACAACUGUCGUGGUCUACGUUUGGGACA